rnacentral:rRNA from 1 species
UGUUGCUUGCAAGGGCGUAUGGUGGAUGCCUUGGCAGACAGGACCGAUGAAGGACGUUUGAGGCUGCGAUAUGCCUCGGGGAGCCGCCAACAGGGCUUUGAUCCGAGGAUUUCCGAAUGGGGGAACCCACCGACCGUCAUGGGUCGGUACCGGCUUCGGCCGGGGGGUACGCAGGGAAGUGAAACAUCUCAGUACCUGCAGGAAAGGAUAUUCCGUGAGUAGUGGCGAGCGAAAGCGGAUGAUGGCCAAACCUUGCGCGUGUGAUACCCGUCGGGGGUUGCGCGCGGGGUGUUGCGGGAUCGCGUGCGCCGGCUCCGACGGGCCGGCCGGCAGUUGCAGAAAACCAUGUGUCAGGGGAACCGGGUUGAAUACCGGGCCGCAGAGGGUGAGGGCCCCGUACCUGAACGCGCAUGGUCUGCCGAUCGCGUCUCCCAAGUAGCACGGGUCCCGUGGAACCCCGUGCGAAUCCGCCCAGACCGUUGGGUAAGCCUGAAUAUUCCUGUCUGACCGAUAGCGAACGAGUACCGUGAGGGAAAGGUGAAAAGUACCCCGGGAGGGGAGUGAAACAGUCUCUGAAACCGUGCGCCUACAAUCCGUCGGAGCCCUUUUGUGGGGUGACGGCGUGCCUAUCGAAAAAUGAGUCUGCGAGUCAGUGGCAUGUGGCGAGCAUAACCCGUGUGGGGUAUGCGUAGCGAAGGCGAGUCUUAAAAGGCGUUUGAGUCGCGUGUCCUGGACCCGAAGCGGGAUGAUCUAGCCCUGAGCAGGUUGAAGCGCGGGUAAGACCGCGUGGAGGACCGAACCCACCUGGGUUGAAAACCGGGGGGAUGACUUGGGGCUAGGGGUGAAAGGCCAAUCAAAUUCCGUGAUAGCUGGUUCUCUCCGAAAUGCAUUUGGGUGCAGCGUCGGGUCAUUACGUCCCGGGGGUAGAGCUACUGGAUGCUUGCGGGCCCGUAUCGGGUACCAACAGCAACCAAACUCCGAAUACCGGUGACGCGUAUCCCGGCAGUGAGUCGGCGGGGGAUAAGCUUCGUCGUCGAAAGGGAAACAGCCCAGACCGUCGUCUAAGGUCCCGAAGCGUGUGCUAAGUGGGAAAGGAUGUGGAGUCGCAUAGACAGCCAGGAGGUUGGCUCAGAAGCAGCCACCCUUGAAAGAGUGCGUAACAGCUCACUGGUCUAGUGGUUCCGCGCCGACAAUGUAGCGGGGCUCAAGCACACCACCGAAGACGCGGCAGUAUUUUGUACUGGGUAGGAGAGCGUCCCAUGAGGGGCGAAGCGGCCGUGUGAACGCGCCGUGGACUUCAUGGGAGUGAGAAUGCAGACAUGAGUAGCGAGAGACGGGUGAAGAUCCCGUCCGCUGGAUGACCAAGGGUUCCAGGGCCACGUUCAUCGUCCCUGGGUGAGUCGGGUCCUAAGGCGAGGCCGACAGGCGUAGUCGAAUGGAUGAACGGGUCGAUAUUCCCGUACCGGCUUUCAGCCGCCAAAACCGAGGCUUGGAGUACUAACCUCCGGGUCCGGGCUUACUGCUCCUUCGGGGGCGGGAUGCCCUGGCCUGUUGGGACCGAUCCUUGUAGUAGGUCAGCGCAGGAGUGACGCAGAAGGGUAGCCGGCCGCGGAGGUGGUCUUCCGUGGUCAAGCACGCAGGGCGUGGGACAGGCAAAUCCGUCCCGCAUGGGUCCGAGGUGCGAUGAUGGGGGCCUUAUGGCCCGAUAUCCGGUGAUCCCGGCUGCCGAGAAAAGCUUCGGCGUCAGGCUCGANNNNNNNNNNNNNNNNNNNNNNNNNNNNNNNNNNNNNNNNNNNNNNNNNNNNNNNNNNNNNNNNNNNNNNNNNNNNNNNNNNNNNNNNNNNNNNCUCGAAGCCGCCCGUACCCCAAACCGACACUGGUGGUCAGGUAGAGAAUACCAAAGCGAUCGAGCGAAUCCUGGUCAAGGAACUCGGCAAAUCACUCCCGUUCCUUCGGUUUAAGGGAGACCCCCGAUGGUGAACACACUUGCUGUGGGAGCUUUUGGGGGUGGCACAGACCAGGGGGUAGCGACUGUUUACCAAAAACACAGGUGCAUGCGAAGGCGCAAGCCGCUGUAUAUGCACUGACGCCUGCCCGGUGCCGGAAGGUUAAGAGGAUCCGUCAGCCUUCGGGUGAAGCGGUGAAUUCAAGCCCCGGUAAACGGCGGUGGUAACUAUAACCAUCCUAAGGUAGCGAAAUUCCUUGUCGGGUAAGUUCCGACCUGCACGAAUGGCGUAACGACUUCCCCACUGUCUCGACCAGGAGCUCGGCGAAAUUGCAGUACGAGUAAAGAUGCUCGUUAAGCGCAGAAGGACGAAAAGACCCCGGGACCUUUACUAUACCUUGGUAUUGGCAUUCGGUGUGGAUUGUGUAGCAUAGGCGGGAGGCCGAGAGGCGCGGUCGCCAGAUCGCGCGGAGCCGUAAGGUGAAAUACCGCUCUGUUCGCAUUGGAUGUCUAACCUCGAACAGUCAUCCUGUUCAGGGACAGUGCCUGGCGGGUAGUUUAACUGGGGCGGUUGCCUCCCAAAGAGUAACGGAGGCGCCCAAAGGUCCGCUCAGCCCGGUUGGCAAUCGGGUGGCGAGUGCAAGUGCACAAGCGGGCUUGACUGCGAGGACGACGGUCCGAGCAGGGACGAAAGUCGGGACUAGUGAUCCGGUGCCGGUGUACGGACGCGGCAUCGCUCAACGGAUAAAAGGUACCCCGGGGAUAACAGGCUGAUCAUUCCCAAGAGUCCAUAUCGACGGGAUGGUUUGGCACCUCGAUGUCGGCUCGUCGCAUCCUGGGGCUGGAGCAGGUCCCAAGGGUUCGGCUGUUCGCCGAUUAAAGCGGCACGCGAGCUGGGUUCAGAACGUCGUGAGACAGUUUGGUCUCUAUCCUCUGCGCUCGUUGGAAUGCUGAGGAGGCCUGCCCAUAGUACGAGAGGACCUGGGUGGACGAACCUCUGGUAUGCCGGUUGUCACGCCAGUGGCACGGCCGGUUGGCUACGUUCGGAAGGGAUAACCGCUGAAAGCAUCUAAGCGGGAAGCCUGCUCCAAGAUAAGCAUUCCGUGGAACCUUCGAGUUCCUGUAGUCCCCAUGCAGAACACGUGGUCGAUAGGCCGGACGUGGAAGCCCCGCGAGGGGUGGAGCCGACCGGUACUAACGGACGAAAGGCA